rnacentral:rRNA from 1 species
AUUGAACGCUGGCGGCAUGCCUUACACAUGCAAGUCGAACGGCAGCACGGGAGCUUGCUCCUGGUGGCGAGUGGCGAACGGGUGAGUAAUAUAUCGGAACGUACCCUAGAGUGGGGAUAACGCAGCGAAAGUUGCGCUAAUACCGCAUACGAUCUACGGAUGAAAGUGGGGGAUCGCAAGACCUCAUGCUCAUGGAGCGGCCGAUAUCUGAUUAGCUAGUUGGUGGGGUAAAGGCCUACCAAGGCAUCGAUCAGUAGCUGGUCUGAGAGGACGACCAGCCACACUGGGACUGAGACACGGCCCAGACUCCUACGGGAGGCAGCAGUGGGGAAUUUUGGACAAUGGGCGCAAGCCUGAUCCAGCAAUGCCGCGUGCAGGAUGAAGGCCUCGGUGU